UAACAGAGAUAUGACUGGUGGUGUCAGAUUUCAACAAGCGCAGCAGCCAAUGAAGAACAUAGUUUCUAGUUCCUGACUAAGUACACCUGUGUUACCUUGCACCCUCACUCUAGCAGUUUCCAUGAUAACAAGGAUCUUGACGUGGGAGCAACAACAUACCAGCAGUAUAGAGAUAACUCUGAACAACAGCUCAUUUAAAUCAUUUGAAGAUGAUGCGAUUGCUGUUCCUGUGUCUGCUGCUGCUGCUGCCAGCUGCUACUGCUGUUUCAGAAGAGGAUGAAGGAUCAGCUGAUGGAGGUCUGGAAAAUGACGAUGAGGACUUAUACAGACUUUCAAAACGGAUUCCAGAUGUUUCCACUACAGAUUAUCCUGGCUCACUCUCAGAUAAAGCUACAGGUGAAGAAGGGUCAGAUCAGUUGACCAUGAUUAUCAUCAUUGUAGCUGUGACUGCAUUGACUCUCUCAGUUGCAGUGAUAGUCGUCAUAAUGUUGGUAAGACGCCACAUGCACAAAAGGCAACAAGGGGUCUACUCCGUGCCUACAGAGCAGGACCAGAAAGGGGCCGUUUAG
rnacentral:lncRNA from 15 species